rnacentral:rRNA from 1 species
CCCUUAGAUGUUCUGGGCCGCACGCGCGCUACACUGAUGCAUUCAACGAGUUUCUUCCUGGUCCGAGAGGAAUGGGUAACCUUUUGAAAGUGCAUCGUGAUAGGGAUAGACUAUUGCAAUUAUUGGUCUUCAGCGAGGAAUUCCUAGUAGACGUAGUUCAUCAGACUGCAUCGAUUACGUCCCUGCCCUUUGUACACACCGCCCGUCGCUCCUACCGAUUGAAUGCUCAGGUGAGCCAUUCGGACUUCCAUCAUGCUGGUUUCCAGUUUUGAUGAUGGAAAGUCUUGCGAACCUUAUCAUUUAGAGGAAGGAGAAGUCGUAACA